CCUGAGAAACCUAAAAGUUCGAAAGGAGAGAUUCAACGUCAGUAUGUAUUGUAUUCACGUGAGUAGUGAUGUGCGCACAUUUUCAUGUUUUUUUAUUGCAAUACCAUUACCGGCGUGCACUUCUCUUCUAGUAGGACGUCCCGACCCGUUGAGUCUUGGUCUACGGCACAGUCUUCGAUACUUUUAUUAGUAUCGAAGACCUUCUGAUAUCGAAGACCUUCUGAUGUACUCCUGGCUAAAGUGCUCGACGGGGUAUUAAGCCGCAAAUUUUAUUUGUGCGUCUGUGCGUCUAGCCUGCCGCAAGAUUAUUGACACACUGUAUUAUCAUAGACUUAGUGCUAUGUAUAUGGACAGUGCUCUUAGACUGGCUUUUUUAUACCUGUCAGGGACGCUUAGGCUUUGGGUACUCUCAGGACCCGUCUUGAAACACGGACCAAGGAGUCUAACAUGUACGCGAGUCAUUGGGUAUAUAUUUUUCAAACCUAAAGGCGAAAUGAAAGUAAAAGUUGAA
rnacentral:rRNA from 1 species